rnacentral:sRNA from 1 species
UACCAAACAAUUUGUAGUCGAAACGGAUACUUCUGGAGUUGGAGUGGGAGCAGUUCUUAUGCAAAGCUAGCGCCCUUUGGCGUACUUUAGCCAUGGCCUUACACCACGCGAGCAGCUCAAACCAGCUUAUGAAAGGGAAUUGAUGGCCUUUGUCAUGGCAUUUCUCAAAUGGAAAGCUUUUACAAUGUGAAAGGAGAUUACAAGUGUAAAAGUAUGUGUGUGAAUGUAAGCUGAAUUGAAUGUGUCUUCCAAGUCGUCCUUGCUCCCUUAUAUAGGUCUACGCACGUGGUAGCUCUGUCCGGGAUCUGCGGAGAUCCUCCUGGAUAUUCGGCAGGGCAGUUCCGAGAUAUCAGGUCCGCUCCGCGAAUAUCUCAUCAUCAGUUCCUAGGUUGUUAUUCGCUUAUCUCCCUUCAUCAGGUGACCGGGCUUAUCUGGCCCAAAUACCCAUUCGCGUAUGUGGGCUCAUCAGCUGCGUAAGUCCCCUACUUGGUGGGUUUGGUGGGCUUUUGUGGGCUGGCUUGGUAUUUUCGCAGAUGGAUUCCUGGAGGGAAAUCCAGCUCCAACAUUUGCCCCCCAGCCCAUUGAGUGAGUAGGCGAACUCGAUGAGCGGACAUAUAUGUCAGGUGAGAUUGCA